GUUAUAGGGACAAGUGAAUAAGUGCACAUGGCGGAUGCCUUGGCGAUUACAGGCGAUGAAGG
rnacentral:rRNA from 1 species